rnacentral:rRNA from 1 species
UACAGAGGGUGCAAGCGUUGUUCGGAAUUAUUGGGCGUAAAGAGCGUGUAGGCGGUCAGGUAGGUCCGUUGUGAAAACUCGAGGCUCAACCUCGAGACGCCGAUGGAAACCAUCUGACUAGAGUCCGGAAGAGGAGAGUGGAAUCCCUGGUGUAGCGGUGAAAUGCGCAGAUAUCAGGAAGAACACCCGUGGCUAAGGCGGCUCUCUAGUACGGUACUGACGCUGAGACGCGAAAGCGUGGGAAGCGAACAGG